rnacentral:rRNA from 1 species
UGGGGGAUAUUGCACAAUGGGCGAAAGCCUGAUGCAGCGACGCCGCGUGGGGGAUGAAGGCUUUCGGGUUGUAAACCUCUUUCGCUAUCGAACAAGGCCCGCUUAGGGUGGGUUGAGGGUAGGUGGAGAAGAAGCGCCGGCUAACUACGUGCCAGCAGCCGCGGUAAUACGUAGGGCGCGAGCGUUGUCCGGAAUUAUUGGGCGUAAAGGGCUUGUCGGCGGCUUGUUGCGCCUGCUGUGAAAACGCGGGGCUUAACUUCGCGCGUGCAGUGGGUACGGGCAGGCUUGAGUGUGGUAGGGGUGACUGGAAUUCCAGGUGUAGCGGUGGAAUGCGCAGAUAUCUGGAGGAACACCGAUGGCGAAGGCAGGUCACUGGGCCAUUACUGACGCUGAGGAGCGAAAGCAUGGGUAGCGAACAGG